GCAGUUAAAACUGCAGCCUGCAGCGUGGUCAGUCGGACGUGCUCGAGCAGUCCCGGUCGAGACCACUGCCUUCCUCGCGUAGCAUGGAACGAAAGCCGCUUCUAUACGCCUAGCGAACACAGGCAGCCAGCGACAGAAGUCGCUGUACAUGCCGCCGGCCACGAUGGCAGCAGCGUCGGCGCCGUCAGCUCCUCAACUCGUAUGGAUUCGCGAGAGGCGACACCGCGCGCACCUGGAGGAAUUGGAGCAGCUCCGACGCAAACGAGGAGGGAGCCCGUUGCCGAGAAGACGGCCGGCCUCACGG
rnacentral:lncRNA from 1 species